rnacentral:rRNA from 1 species
AGGACGAACGCUGGCGGCAUGCCUAACACAUGCAAGUCGAACGGAGUUAAAAGAGCUUGCUUUUUAACUAGUGGCGGACGGGUGAGUAACGCGUGAGCAAUCUGCCCUUCAGUGGGGAAUAAUGUUCUGAAAAGAGCACUAAUACCGCAUAAUGUAUAAUCGCCGCAUGACGGAUAUACCAAAGAUUUAUCGCUGAGAGAUGAGCUCGCGUCCGAUUAGCCGGUUGGUGGGGUAACGGCCUACCAAAGCUACGAUCGGUAGCCGGACUGAGAGGUUGAACGGCCACAUUGGGACUGAGACACGGCCCAGACUCCUACGGGAGGCAGCAGUGGGGGAUAUUGCGCAAUGGGGGAAACCCUGACGCCAGCAAUGCCGCGUGAAGGAUGAAGGUCUUCGGAUUGUAAACUUCUUUUGUCAGGGACGAAAAUGACGGUACCUGACGAAUAAGCUCCGGCUAACUACGUGCCAGCAGCCGC